rnacentral:tRNA from 1 species
GGGAAGUUGGCUCAGUGGUAGAGCGCUUGCCUCGCAUGCAUGAGGCCCUGAGUUUGAUUCCUCAGUACCA